GAAAGCAGCAGCUGGGGCUGUGGGGAGGCCCCAGACCUGAAGGAGCAGAGACUGCAGAGGCUGAGCAAGUUUGCCCAGCUGCUGCCCCACAUGAGGUGAGUGUUUAUUCCUUUUUAGGAAUAGUGCUUGUUUCUCAUAAUUCUUGGGGGCUCAUCCGGGAUCCGAAGCAUUGAGGAGGACCCCUGGGACGGAAGAAGGGAAGGCGCGCCCCGCCGUUUGAGCGGUCUCGGACUCUGUCGUUGGGGGCCUGCUGCUUCUGACUGCUGGUGAGACCUGCGAUCAGGUGCUUAAGUCUGCUGAUUGUGGACAAGAAAAGGGGAAAGAACAACGUGACUUGCAGCCACCAGGUAACUCUGUGCACAGACCAAGGCAUCGUGGUUUGCUGGCCCAAACUCUGCCUCUUGAAUUUGCUGUCCAUCAACACCAACCUGGAAGCUGGGUGCUGAUCAAGUUGUGGAAGGAGUCCAGACUUCAACCAGCCUGGGAGGGACCUCAUCAAGUUUUGUUAACACUGAAACAGCAGUCUGGAUGGCAGAGAAAAGCUGGACUCACUACCCCUGAGUAAAGGGACCGGUGUCUGAACCGGAUGAUAAAUACCCAGCAACUCUGCCCAAAUCUUGAA